rnacentral:misc_RNA from 1 species
AAGUCGUAACAAGGUCUCCGUUGGUGAACCAGCGGAGGGAUCAUUACGAAUGGGUCCAAAAGACUCUUAAAACCUACCGUGCUCCCCUACGUGGAAAACAGGAAAGCCUUCCGGGGCAUAGAAAUCUGAGAUGGUUGAAGAACCGCGCCCACGGCGCAUGACUAAGCAAGAAAUUACAACCCAUAACAAUGGAUCUCUUGGCUCUG